AGUGAACGCUGGCGGUAGGCCUAACACAUGCAAGUCGAACGGCAGCCCAGUAAGAGCUUGCUCUUACGGGUGGCGAGUGGAGGACGGGUGCGGAACACAACGGAAUCUACUUUUCCGUGGGGGAUUACGAAGGGCAACUUACGUCAACACCGCAUACGAUCUACGGGUGAACGCAGGGGAUCUUCGCACCUUGCGCGCUUGAAUGUGGCGAUGUCGGAUUACAUAGUUGGCGGGGCAAAGGCCCACCAAGGCGAGGAUCCGUGGCGGGUCUGAGAGGAUGGUCAGCCACACGGGAACUGAGGCACGCUCCAGACUCCUACGGGAGGCAGCAGUGGGGAAUAUUGGGCAAUGGGCGCGAACCGAAUCCAGGCAUACCGCGUGAGUGAAGAAGGCCUACGGGUUGGAGAGCCCUUUUGUUGGGAAGGAAGAACAGCGGGUUAAGGCCCCGAGAUACUGACGGUACCCAAAGAAUAAGCACCGGCUAACUUCGUG
rnacentral:rRNA from 1 species